AUAAGAUCUUGCUUCUCGUGAUGUUGUUUCAAGAUCAAUGACAAUGGAAAUUAGAGAAUGACGUGGUGUAGGGCCAUUGAAGGACCACAUUUAUUUGCAUCUGAACCAUCUGCCGCCUGAGGUUCUCAAAGAAAGGCUCCCUGGUAUUUCUGAAACUGCUGCUAUUUUUGCUGGUGUUGACGUCACCAAGGAGCCCAUUCCAGUUUUGCCUACUGUGCACUACAAUAUGGGUGGUAUCCCAUGUCCCAAUGAACUACCAUGGGGAGGUAGUGGAUAUCAAGGGUGAUAAUCCAGAUGCUGUUAUCCCUGGUCUAAUGGCUGCUGGUGAAGCAGCCUGUGCAUCUGUCCAUGGUGCAAAUAGGCUAGGCGCAAAUUCACUUCUUGACAUAGUUGUUUUUGGCAGAGCUUGUGCAAACAGGGUAGCAGAUAUUUCUAAACCAGGUAGGUUCCUUAUAUUCACGGGGAGGUAUCACGGGACGAAGUCCGCGCCGAGGAGAGGGUGCAAAAGGUUGUGGAGAAGGAGGGUAUCAAUGUGAAGUACUUCUGGGUAGCACGUUGUACCAUGUGGAAGACCUUCCCUUCCGCCUUGACGACAUACCGUCCAACUAUGGUGGCUUCAGGGAGGCUAUGAAGGGGCUGGACAUCAGAAAGGUGCUGGAGGCGCCCGAGGAGGUCAAGUGCGUGCCCAUGAAGAAUGUGCUCGAGCCUAGAGACAUCCCCACGCUUGCUGAGCUCGGUCUCACUACUCCACCAGGCAUGGCACAUAUGAGUCGGCUUCAAGACAUAGAUCACUUUCUUUUCCUGUAGCAUGCUUUUAGAUCUUUAGCUAGGUUCACCAUCUUGACAUUUAGGCCCGAGUUCACUUUAUAGUCUAUACGUGGUAAUGGCUUAAAGCAUUCAGUACUUCUAAGUAAAUUGUACAGGUACAACUAGAAAGGUUUCUGGCAUUCAGUACCACGAUGCAUUCUGUCGUUGAACCUGUUUGAGCUGCUGAAGAAGUCUGGUUGGCAGGAGGGCACUGGCCUUGAAGCGCGGGACCAAGGCCUCGAGCAUGACAGAGAGG